rnacentral:tRNA from 1 species
GUUAUUUUGGCAGAUUAGUGCAUUAAAUUUAGAAUUUAAAGAUGUAUAUAUUAUAUUACAAUUAACA